rnacentral:rRNA from 1 species
UUCGGUCCGCUGACGAGUGGCGAACGGGUGCGUAACACGUGGAUGACCUGUCUCGAGGCGGGGGAUAACGACUGGAAACAGUUGCUAAUACCGCAUGAGCUCUACGGAGGAAAGGCUUCGGCCACCUUGAGAGGGGUCCGCGUCGGAUUAGCUAGUUGGUGAGGGUAAAGGCCCACCAAGGCGACGAUCCGUAGCUGGUCCGAGAGGAUGAUCAGCCACACUGGGACUGAGACACGGCCCAGACUCCUACGGGAGGCAGCAGUGGGGAAUAUUGCGCAAUGGGGGAAACCCUGACGCAGCAAUACCGCGUGAGUGAAGAAGGCCUUCGGGUUGUAAAGCUCUUUUAGUGGGGAAGAUAGUGACGGUACCCACAGAAAAAACUCCGGCUAACUCCGUGCCAGCAGCCGCGGUAAUACGGAGGGAGUGAGCGUUGUUCGGAUUUACUGGGCGUAAAGAGCGCGUAGGUUGUUUAGUAAG